rnacentral:rRNA from 1 species
AGAUCGAAUGGGGAGAUUCAUCGUCAACAGCGCUGGCUCCCGUUGGUGCGCGAUGCCCCGAAUGGGCCCUUGUGGUUCCACGGCGAGGGCACGCCACUUUCGGCUUGAAUGUUCCGGUGCCGUAGUCGUGCACUUCUCCCCUGGUAGAACGUCGCGACCCGUUGUGUGUCGGUCUACGGCCCGAGAGGGCGCCUGUCGCGUCGCCUUGCGCGCACUCGUCAGACCCUCGGUCGCCCGGCCGGGCUACACGACGGUACUCGCACGGUAUCGGGCCGCAACCAAUCCAUUCUCGAAUGGCGUUUGCGUCAGGUCCGCCGCAAGCUCGGUUAGUUCUUACCCGGUGGUACGGACCUCGUGCCGUCCCCGGGCCUAACCAGCUGUUAGCAGGCGGUGUCCUCGGACUGGCCAAGCUUCGAAUUACCGGUCGGCGACGCUAUUGCUUUGGGUACUCUCAGGACCCGUCUUGAAACACGGACCAAGGAGUCUAACAUGUGCGCGAGUCAUUGGGAUGCACAAACCUAAAGGCGAAAUGAAAGUGAAGGUCGUCCUUAGCGUCGACCGAGGGAGGAUGGGCCGCGUAACUAGGCGGCCUCGCACUCCCGGGGCGUCUCGUUCUCAUCGCGAGAAGAGGCGCACCCAGAGCGUACACGUUGGGACCCGAAAGAUGGUGAACUAUGCCUGGUCAGGACGAAGUCAGGGGAAACCCUGAUGGAGGUCCGUAGCGAUUCUGACGUGCAAAUCGAUCGUCGGAACUGGGUAUAGGGGCGAAAGACUAAUCGAACCAUCUAGUAGCUGGUUCCCUCCGAAGUUUCCCUCAGGAUAGCUGGCACUCGCUAGAACGCGUGCGAGUCUCAUCUGGUAAAGCGAAUGAUUAGAGGCCUUGGGGCCGAAACGACCUCAACCUAUUCUCAAACUUUAAAUGGGUGAGAUCUCUGGCUUGCUUGAAAAGUGAAGCCAUGAGAUUUUGGAUCAGAGUGCCAAGUGGGCCAAUUUUGGUAAGCAGAACUGGCGCUGUGGGAUGAACCAAACGUAGAGUUAAGGCGCCUAAGUCGACGCUUAUGGGAUACCAUGAAAGGCGU